rnacentral:misc_RNA from 1 species
GAUGAAGAACGCAGCGAAAUGCGAUAAGUAAUGUGAAUUGCAGAAUUCAGUGAAUCAUCGAAUCUUUGAACGCACAUUGCGCCCGCCAGUAUUCUGGCGGGCAUGCCUGUCUGAGCGUCAUUUCAACCCUCAAGCAACUUCUGCUUGGUGUUGGGGAUCGGCCGUCAAACGCCGCCCCCGAAAUCUAUUGGCGAUCUCGCUGUAGCUUCCUAUGCGUAGUAGUAACAUCUCGCAUCUGGAGAGCGGCGCGGUCAUGCCGUAAAACACCCAACUUCUCAGGUUGACCUCAAAUCAGGUAGGACUACCCGCUGAACUUAAGCAUAUCAAUAAGCGGAGGA